rnacentral:rRNA from 1 species
ACGUCUACAUUAGAUACCCGCGUAGUCCCAGCGUAAACUAUGCGCGUUAGGUGUAUCGGUGACCACGAGUUACCGAGGUGCCGAAGGGAAACCGUGAAACGUGCCGCCUGGGAAGUACGGUCGCAAGGCUGAACUUAAGGAAUUGCGGGGAGCACCACAACAGGUGGAGCCUGCGGUUUAAUUGGACUCAACGCCGGAAAUCGCACCGGAUAAGACAGCAGAAUGAUUGCCGGGCUGAAGACUCUGCAUGACUAGCUG